rnacentral:rRNA from 1 species
AUGGCAACCGUGCCAUGCCGCGCGUCCCUUCUCAUGCUACUAAUGCUCGUGCACCCCUGCUGCUGCGCAGCACCGGCCGCCGAUGAGAGGCGGCUUCUCAUCCAGAUCAAGCGCGCGUGGGGCGACCCGUCCACGCUCGCGGCAUGGGACGGCUCGGCCGACCACUGCACCUGGCCCUACGUCACCUGCGUCGCGCCAUCCGGGCCUGUCACAAGCCUCUCCCUCGCCAGCACAAACGUAGACGGCCCGUUCCCGGACGCCAUCGGCGCCCUCUCCGGCCUCACGAGCCUCGACAUCUCCAACAACGGCGUCACCGGCGCCUUUCCGACAAGCGUAUACCGAUGCGCUUCUCUCCGGUAUCUGGAUUUGUCCCAUAACUACCUCGGCGGCGAGCUACCCGCCGACAUGGGCGGCGCGCUCGGGGAGAACCUCACCUCUCUAGUGCUCAACGGCAACCACUUUAACGGUACCAUCCCCACCUCCUUGUCCCGGUUACGUAACCUCCAUUCGCUUGCGCUGGACAACAACCACCUCGCCGGCACCAUCCCGGCAGAGCUCGGCGACCUCACGGGCCUUCAGACGCUCACGCUCCUGAACAACUUGUUCAGCGUUGGCGAGCUGCCGGCGUCGUUCAAGAACCUGACCAAGCUGAAAAAAUUCUGGGCGGCUAACUGCAACCUCACCGGCGACUUCCCGAGCUAUGUGGCCGAGAUGCCGGAGUUGGAGGCGCUCGACCUCUCGGGCAACGCCUUGACCGGAAGUAUACCUCCGGGGAUUUGGAACCUCCCCAAGUUGCAAAAGGUGGAUCUAUCUGCCAACAACCUCGCCGGCGAGGUCGUGGCAACCGAUGGUGCCUUCGGCGCCGCGAAUUUGGUGACGAUCGAUCUGUCCUUGAAUCACAGGCUACGUGGGCUGAUUCCGGAGGGCCUCGGUCACUUACCGAACCUUGAAACUCUCAACUUGUCCGGUAACCAGCUCUUUGGCAGGAUCCCGAGGAGCAUAGCCAAGCUCGGCUUGCUGACGCAGCUGGACCUGAGCAGGAAUCAGCUCGUCGGCGAAAUACCGGCAGAAUUGGGCGACAUGCAGAUGCUCAACGCACUUGACCUGUCGUCGAACAAGCUAUCUGGCGACAUACCACUGCCGCUUGCCGGGCUACAGCUCCGUUCGCUCAACCUGUCAUCCAACCAGCUCGAAGGCCAGGUACCGGCAGGGCUCGCCACCGCCGCUUACGACCGGAGCUUCCUCGACAACCCCGGCCUCUGCCUUGCCGGUACGGAGUUCGGCUUCGUCGCAGGCGUUCGCUCCUGCUCCAUGCCAUCACAAGUCGCCUCUUCCCCCGGGGUCCGCUCGACGGCUCUCCUUGCCCUCAAGGCCGCCGCCUGCGUGGUCGUCGUCCUCGUCGUGGCAGUGGUUUUCUUCGUCGUCCACGACAGGAAAAAGAAGCGCGCUGCACAGGAUGGUUCCGAGGAGAAUCAGUCGGCAGCGGCGGGUCGGGGCCUGCUUAAUGCUACUACCUCCGUCCUGGUUUAUAGGUUCUCUUUAUAG